GUUUCUUUUCUGUUAUUCUAGGACUAGAUUUGCUGGGUAGAGACUAUCAGUAUAUUCCAGCCCUGGGAAAAGACCAUCAAUAUCUGGCCAUUUUGCCAGGUGGUCAGAGGAUGCUGGAUGAACCCGAAGGCCAAGAUUCCUCAGAAGAUGUCCGGGCUUGGUAUCACACCAAGGUGGAAGUCCCUAUUUGGCUCCUGGCUAUCAUGACGGUGAUACUCAGUGGAUUUAUUUUCAUGUCGGUCGCCAUCUGCAUCUGCAAAGCAAAGAAUCAGUGGAAACAAAAAUCAAGAUUAAAUGAAGAAGACCAACUGACAAGCGUCGUUGUAAAAUAAAACAAUAGAUUUUACAAGGAAAGGAAGUUAUUUACCAAGCCAACAAAUGAGGAAAUGGAACUAUAUCUUCGAGGACGUGAUUCGGGAAUUGGAAAGAGAAGGGAGUAUUCCACCCUAUUAGAACACAACAAUUGGUGUUUUCAGCUAUAACCUGCGGCGCUGAUCAA